CAAGUACUCCCUCUGUCCGGAAUUACUUGUCAUCAAAAUGGAUGUGUCUAGAACUAAAAUACAUCUAGAUGCAUCCAUUUCAAUGACAAGUAUUUCCGGACGGACGGAGUACAAG
rnacentral:pre_miRNA from 1 species